rnacentral:rRNA from 1 species
AACGAACGCUGGCGGCAUGCCUAACACAUGCAAGUCGAACGAAGGCUUCGGCCUUAGUGGCGCACGGAUGCGUAACGCGUGGGAAUCUGCCCUUUGGUUCGGAAUAACAGCUGGAAACGGCUGCUAAUACCGGAUGAUGACGAAAGUCCAAAGAUUUAUCGCCAGAGGAUGAGCCCGCGUUGGAUUAGGUAGUUGGUGGGGUAAAGGCCUACCAAGCCGACGAUCCAUAGCUGGUCUGAGAGGAUGAUCAGCCACACUGGGACUGAGACACGGCCCAGACUCCUACGGGAGGCAGCAGUGGGGAAUAUUGGACAAUGGGCGCAAGCCUGAUCCAGCAAUGCCGCGUGAGUGAUGAAGGCCCUAGGGUUGUAAAGCUCUUUUACCCGGGAAGAUAAUGACUGUACCGGGAGAAUAAGCCCCGGCUAACUCCGUG